rfam:Erinaceus europaeus unplaced genomic scaffold scaffold00231, whole genome shotgun sequence
GGACGUGAGGACAAUCUAGCUGUGACAUCUGUCACCUCAUUGAUCGCCAGGGUUGAUUGGGCUGAUCUGAAUGGUUAAGCAGGUGUCCCCUUCCUCCCUGACUGUUCCAUGUGCAUCCCUUCUGAAGCUGCACUUUUGAAGAGGACAGCCUUCCCCGAAUAGAAACUGAUCAGUCUUCUGUCAAGAGUAUUAAAGUAGCUACACUCGCCUGCUAGAACCUCCAAACAAGCUCUAAAACAAUGUUUUUUGAAAAUAAUGGCCAUGAAUAUUUGUAUACACUGUUUAAGGACCUGUUUAUAC